rnacentral:rRNA from 1 species
GACGAACGCUGGCGGCGUGCUUAACACAUGCAAGUCGAACGGAAAGGCCCUGCUUUUGUGGGGUGCUCGAGUGGCGAACGGGUGAGUAACACGUGAGUAACCUGCCCUUGACUUUGGGAUAACUUCAGGAAACUGGGGCUAAUACCGGAUAGGAGCUCCUGCUGCAUGGUGGGGGUUGGAAAGUUUCGGCGGUUGGGGAUGGACUCGCGGCUUAUCAGCUUGUUGGUGGGGUAGUGGCUUACCAAGGCUUUGACGGGUAGCCGGCCUGAGAGGGUGACCGGCCACAUUGGGACUGAGAUACGGCCCAGACUCCUACGGGAGGCAGCAGUGGGGAAUAUUGCACAAUGGGCGGAAGCCUGAUGCAGCAACGCCGCAUGCGGGAUGACGGCCUUCGGGUUGUAAACCGCUUUCGCCUGUGACGAAGCGUGAGUGACGGUAAUGGGUAAAGAAGCACCGGCUAACUACGUGCCAGCAGCCGCGGUGAUACGUAGGGUGCGAGCGUUGUCCGGAUUUAUUGGGCGUAAAGGGCUCGUAGGUGGUUGAUCGCGUCGGAAGUGUAAUCUUGGGGCUUAACCCUGAGCGUGCUUUCGAUACGGGUUGACUUGAGGAAGGUAGGGGAGAAUGGAAUUCCUGGUGGAGCGGUGGAAUGCGCAGAUAUCAGGAGGAACACCAGUGGCGAAGGCGGUUCUCUGGGCCUUUCCUGACGCUGAGGAGCGAAAGCGUGGGGAGCGAACAGGCUUAGAUACCCUGGUAGUCCACGCUGUAAACGGUGGGUACUAGGUGUGGGGUCCAUUCCACGGGUUCCGUGCCGUAGCUAACGCUUUAAGUACCCCGCCUGGGGAGUACGGCCGCAAGGCUAAAACUCAAAGGAAUUGACGGGGCCCCGCACAAGCGGCGGAGCAUGCGGAUUAAUUCGAUGCAACGCGUAGAACCUUACCUGGGUUUGACAUGGAUCGGGAGCGCUCAGAGAUGGGUGUGCCUCUUUUGGGGUCGGUUCACAGGUGGUGCAUGGCUGUCGUCAGCUCGUGUCGUGAGAUGUUGGGUUAAGUCCCGCAACGAGCGCAACCCUUGUUCACUGUUGCCAGCACGUUAUGGUGGGGACUCAGUGGAGACCGCCGGGGUCAACUCGGAGGAAGGUGGGGAUGACGUCAAGUCAUCAUGCCCCUUAUGUCCAGGGCUUCACGCAUGCUACAAUGGCUGGUACAGAGAGUGGCGAGCCUGUGAGGGUGAGCGAAUCUCGGAAAGCCGGUCUCAGUUCGGAUUGGGGUCUGCAACUCGACCUCAUGAAGUCGGAGUCGCUAGUAAUCGCAGAUCAGCAACGCUGCGGUGAAUACGUUCCCGGGGCU